rnacentral:sRNA from 1 species
UAAAGAAGAAAAAUUCAGGAAAUGUUGU